rnacentral:rRNA from 1 species
AACGAACGCUGGCGGCAGGCUUAACACAUGCAAGUCGAACGCCCCGCAAGGGGAGUGGCAGACGGGUGAGUAACGCGUGGGAACAUACCCUUUUCUACGGAAUAGCUCUGGGAAACUGGAAUUAAUACCGUAUACGCCCUACGGGGGAAAGAUUUAUCGGGGAAGGAUUGGCCCGCGUUGGAUUAGCUAGUUGGUGGGGUAAAGGCCUACCAAGGCGACGAUCCAUAGCUGGUCUGAGAGGAUGAUCAGCCACAUUGGGACUGAGACACGGCCCAAACUCCUACGGGAGGCAGCAGUGGGGAAUAUUGGACAAUGGGCGCAAGCCUGAUCCAGCCAUGCCGCGUGAGUGAUGAAGGCCUUAGGGUUGUAAAGCUCUUUCACCGAUGAAGAUAAUGACGGUAGUCGGAGAAGAAGCCACGGCUAACUUCGUG